rnacentral:rRNA from 1 species
AGAGGUUGCUUUUGGCUCAGGACGAACGCUGGCGGCGUGCCUAACACAUGCAAGUCGAACGGAGAAUUUUAUUUCGGUAGAAUUCUUAGUGGCGAACGGGUGAGUAACGCGUAGGCAACCUACCCUUUAGACGGGGACAACAUUCCGAAAGGAGUGCUAAUACCGGAUGUGAUCAUCGUGCCGCAUGGCAGGAUGAAGAAAGAUGGCCUCUACGAGUAAGCUAUCGCUAAAGGAUGGGCCUGCGUCUGAUUAGCUAGUUGGUAGUGUAACGGACUACCAAGGCGAUGAUCAGUAGCCGGUCUGAGAGGAUGAACGGCCACAUUGGGACUGAGACACGGCCCAAACUCCUACGGGAGGCAGCAGUGGGGAAUCUUCCGCAAUGGACGAAAGUCUGACGGAGCAACGCCGCGUGAGUGAUGAAGGAUUUCGGUCUGUAAAGCUCUGUUGUUUAUGACGAACGUGCAGUGUGUGAACAAUGCAUUGCAAUGACGGUAGUAAACGAGGAAGCCACGGCUAACUACGUGCCAGCAGCCGCGGUAAUACGUAGGUGGCGAGCGUUGUCCGGAAUUAUUGGGCGUAAAGAGCAUGUAGGCGGCUUAAUAAGUCGAGCGUGAAAAUGCGGGGCUCAACCCCGUAUGGCGCUGGAAACUGUUAGGCUUGAGUGCAGGAGAGGAAAGGGGAAUUCCCAGUGUAGCGGUGAAAUGCGUAGAUAUUGGGAGGAACACCAGUGGCGAAGGCGCCUUUCUGGACUGUGUCUGACGCUGAGAUGCGAAAGCCAGGGUAGCGAACGGGAUUAGAUACCCCGGUAGUCCUGGCCGUAA